UCGAGAGUUUGAUCCUGGCUCAGAUUGAACGCUGGCGGAAUGCUUUACACAUGCAAGUCGAACGGUAGAGGGGGCAACCUCUCGAGAGUGGCGAACGGGUGAGUAAUAUAUCGGAACGUGCCCAGUCGUGGGGGAUAACGUAGCGAAAGUUACGCUAAUACCGCAUACGAUCUAAGGAUGAAAGCGGGGAUCGCAAGACCUCGCGCGAUUGGAGCGGCCGAUAUCAGAUUAGGUAGUUGGUGAGGUAAAGGCUCACCAAGCCAACGAUCUGUAGCUGGUCUGAGAGGACGACCAGCCACACUGGAACUGAGACACGGUCCAGACUCCUACGGGGAGGCAGCAGUGGGGAAUUUUGGACAAUGGGCGCAAGCCUGAUCCCAGCAAUACCGCGUGAGGAUGAAGGCCUUCGGUUGUAAACCUCUUUAGCAGGGAAGAAGCGAAGUGACGGUACCUGCAGAAAAACGCACCGGCUAACUACGUGCCAGCAGCCG
rnacentral:rRNA from 1 species